UUAAUGAGAGAAUCAAUGUCAUUAAGAGUAGGACAAAGGAAAUAAUCUUGCGAUUCAAUAAAUAAUAGGAGUCUUUGCCGGUGUCUUCUUCUUCAGACAGGAUGUGAUGACGUCACGCAGUCUGUAGCAAUGCAUUGACCGUUACUGGAAAAAAGUGUGGCAAUAGAAAAAUAGUGUGUAUUGUCCUGGGCAGAUUUAUGAUGAGCACUGUUUUUGAAUAAGAAGAAAUAGUUUGAUGCUGGUUUCCUUCUUUGUUUCUUUUCGCUUUUUCCCCCCUUGUCUGACAGACAUGUGCUGACAUGCCUGGGCUUGUUCUGACAUGCUUUCCUUCUGCAUGUAGUUUUUUUUCCUUUUGUACAAGGCAUAUUCUUGACGAUAGUGCUGCCUUGAAUGGGAGUAGAGCAAUUCUUAAUAAUUUUGCGAUUCAUUUAGUUCAGAGAGUAACCGCGAGGGGGACAGGUGUGUGACUUUAUGUCUUGCUGAACCUUUUUUUUUUUUUUUUUCCUGUACAGUAAGACUUUGGGAAUGAAAUGCUACAAUCUCCUCUUGUCUAUGGUGUUUUUCUGCAAUAGUUCCCUACGCAAUCAUUAUAGUAGAAUAAAGGAAAUAAUCUAGGGAUAGUGAUUCAAUAAAUAACAGGUGCCCUGUCUAGAGCGUACGCGUCCUUGAGCCACGCACCUGCAUGAUGACCGCAUACCGAGAGACUAUUGUUUCAGGUUGACCUUGUCUAGAGGAGCAUUAGUGGAAAAAAACUGUGUAGCCCUGAGACAAUAGGAUGAUGUCUGGACCAAUGAGACUGGCCUGCAGGGGACGCAAGGAUUCACUUCUCUCUUGGACACUGGCGGAUGUAGACACGGUAAUUAUGAUCCUGGCAAUUGCGUUGAUCGUCAGUAGAAGAGCGUAACUUAGGUGGGGUUCUGUCUGCCUCUGAUGGGGUGCGGAUGUGUGGUUCGUCACUGGUGAAUGGUGUUCGACGAUGCAGGUGGAUUUUGUGACGAGCGGAUUUACAAUGAGGAAAUGUAGUGUACGUGUCCGAUGAUAGUGAGCGUCUUUUCACUCUGUUCAAGUAUUCGUUUUCCUCUGUUGCCCAACAGUCGUGCGAAUUUGUCCUGACGUGUCCUGACAUGCCCCGAUAUGCAUGGUUUCCUUUGUUAACGCUUUGUAUUUUGUCUUUUUUGACAAGGAACAUUGUCGUCUUGACGAUAGUGCUGCCCUGAGUUCUGCGCGCGUUGAUUUGUUGAGUGCCUAGUCCUCUUAUUAGCCGUUGAUGGGUUUACAUGUUGGGAUAUUUUGUUCUUUUGCAAGUCUCAUUUAGUAAGACUUUGGAAUUCCUACGAUCAGCUUUCAUGCAUGGUGCUCUUCUGCAAUAGUUUCCUAUGCAGUCGUUAUAGAAUAAUAAAGGAAAUAACCUUGGGAUAGUGAUUCAAUAAAUAAUAGGUCCCCUGUCUAGAGCGCACGCGUCCUUGAGCCACGCAGGUGCAUGAGGACGUCAUACCGUGGCUUCACUGCAGAUUGACCUUGUCUAGAGGAGCAUUAGUGGAAAAAAAACAGUGUAGCCCUGAGACAAUAGGAUGAUGUCUGGACCAAUGAGAACGGCCAGCAGGGGGCGCAGGAAUGCUCUUCUCUCUUAGCCUCUCGCAGGUGGCGGUAGGAGCGCGCAGAGGGCGCUACGAGCGCGCGCAUGCGUAGCACUCGUAGAGUGGCGCUUACGUCAGUCCACCUCUGGCUCUCGUUGGGAGAAGACGUGCGGUCGUUCGCUCCGUCGUCACUUGAUCCCUGGCUGUCGACGAGAGCGGACGCUCCGUCGCAGCGGGGAAAAAGGUGAGUGAUUUACCGAUGUUUGCGCGUUGUUUUACCGUGCUCGUGUUAAGCCUUUUCUCGCAUGUUUAGACUUGUUUAGCGGUGUCCAAGCCUGUUGACGCACGUUUGCCAUCGUGUGGUUCCCGCCUUGUGUUAGCCGCGAAGUGUUGUGACGCUGUGGUUAGGCCUAGUCGAUUGCCUUAAGCCUUUUCCCCCAAUGUGUAGUGUUUUCUCCGUGCUGUUUAGCAGUAGCGGUUAGGCCUUUUCCCCGCGCUCUGGCAUGCUUAGACUUGUCGAGCAGUGUUGCCAUUUUUACGUGUCGCUAGUACUUUCUUGUUCUCUGUGUUUCUCGUAUAGAGCUACGAUGCUGGCGCCAUCUGGUGUGAUGCCUUGGAACUAGCGUGCCACCUGCCUCUGCAACCGUCGUGCUCCAGUCGCCCCGGCGUGAUUUCUUCAAGAUGGCGUCGUUGAUUUUCAAAUAAAUCAUUUCCUACUGUCUG